UACGGGGCAGCAGUGGGGAAUUUUUGGACAAUGGGGAAACCCUGAUCCAGCCAUCCCCGCGUGCGGAGAAGGCCUUCGGGUUGUAAAGCACUUUUGGCAGGAAAAGAAACGGCACGACAGGUCAUCGCAAUCGAUGAACGAAUAUGGUCGGCCAAUUACGUGCCAGCAGCCGCGGUAAUAAUAAUGUAGGGUGCAAGCGUUAAUCGGAAUUACUGGGCGUAAAGCGUGCGCAGGCGGUUCGGAAAGAAAGAUGUGAAAUCCCAGAGCUUAACUUGGAACUGCAUUUUUAACUACCGAGCUAGAGGUGUCAGAGGGAGGUGGAAUUCCGCGUGUAGCAGUGAAAUGCGUAGAUAUGCGGAGGAACACCGGAUGGCAAAGGCAGCCUCCCGGGAUAACAUCGACGCUCAUGCACGAAAGCGUGGGGAGCAACAGGAUUAGAUACCCCUGUAGU
rnacentral:misc_RNA from 1 species